AUGGCCUGGGCUCUUCUCCUCCUCACCGUCCUCACUCAGGGCACCGGCUCCUGGGUCCAGUCUGCCCUAUCUCAGCCUUCCUCAGCAUCCGGGUCUCUGGGACAGUUGGUCACCAUCUCCUGCACUGGAAGCAGCAGUGACAUCGGAGGUUAUAAUGAUGUCUCCUGGUACCAACAGCACCUGGGCACAGCCCCCAAACUCCUGAUUUAUAAUGUGAAUACUCAGGCCUCAGGGAUCCCUGCUCACUUCUCUGGCUCCAAGUCUGGCAACACAGCCUCUCUGACCAUUUCUGGGCUCGAAGCUGCAGAGGAGGCUGAUUAUUACUGUGGCUCAUUGAGGGGUGCUUCCUCUUUGCCUCUGUUUGGUGGUUCUAGAAGGCAACUAAUCGUAGCAACAGUUCUCAAAUAG